rnacentral:rRNA from 1 species
AGUGAACGCUGGCGGUAGGCCUAACACAUGCAAGUCGAACGGCAGCACAGUAAGAGCUUGCUCUUACGGGUGGCGAGUGGCGGACGGGUGAGGAAUACAUCGGAAUCUACUUUUUCGUGGGGGAUAACGUAGGGAAACUUACGCUAAUACCGCAUACGACCUACGGGUGAAAGCAGGGGAUCUUCGGACCUUGCGCGAUUGAAUGAGCCGAUGUCGGAUUAGCUAGUUGGCGGGGUAAAGGCCCACCAAGGCGACGAUCCGUAGCUGGUCUGAGAGGAUGAUCAGCCACACUGGAACUGGGACACGGUCCAGGCUCCUACGGGAGGCAGCAGUGGGGAAUAUUGGGCAAUGGGCGCAAGCCUGAUCCAGCCAUACCGCGUGGGUGAAGGAGGCCUUCGGGUUGUAAAGCCCUUUUGUUGGGAAAGAAAAGCAGCAGGUUAAUACCCCGCUGUUCUGACGGUACCCAAAGAAUAAGCACCGGCUAACUUCGUG